UACCUUCUAAAUGAAGCCUUUUUGUUUUAAACUGUAGUUUGCAGCAGACUGUUUCACAUUCUUGAUACAAGAAACUAAAAACUGCUGCAUGAGAAUGUCCUCAUCAUCACUGUCUUAUUCACCGUUAGCGAAACCAUCGUGCUUCUGUAAUAUUAAAACUACAUUGAGAUAUUCAAAUACUAAAAGAAAUCCAGGACGACCCUUCUUAGGGUGUCCAAAGUACAACACAAAGGGAUUACCAUAUUGCAAAUAUUUCAAGUGGGUUGAUAGUAAUCAACACACAGACUCGGAUCUACAA